rnacentral:rRNA from 1 species
UACGUAGGUGGCAAGCGUUGUCCGGAUUUAUUGGGUUUAAAGGGUGCGUAGGCGGCUUUGUAAGUCAGUGGUGAAAUAUGGCAGCUCAACUGUCAAGGUGCCAUUGAUACUGCGGAGCUUGAGUACAGAUGAGGUAGGCGGAAUUGACGGUGUAGCGGUGAAAUGCUUAGAUAUCGUCAAGAACACCUAUAGCGAAGGCAGCUUACUAGGCUGUAACUGACGCUGAGGCACGAAAGCGUGGGGAUCAAACAGG